UACGAAGGGGGCUAGCGUUGCUCGGAAUCACUGGGCGUAAAGCGCACGUAGGCGGACUCUUAAGUCGGUGGUGAAAUCUCCGGGCUUAACUCGGAAAGGUCAACUGAUACUGUGCGACUAGAGUGCGGAAGGGGCAACUGGAAUUCUCGGUGUAGCGGUGAAAUGCGUAGAGAUCGGGAGGAACACCUGUGGCGAAGGCGGCCGACUGGGCCGACCCUGACGCUGAGGCGCGAAGGCGUGGGGAGCGAACGGG
rnacentral:rRNA from 1 species